rnacentral:rRNA from 1 species
GAUGAACGCUGGCGGCGUGCCUAAUACAUGCAAGUCGAGCGAACAGAUAAGGAGCUUGCUCCUUUGACGUUAGCGGCGGACGGGUGAGUAACACGUGGGUAACCUACCUAUAAGACUGGGAUAACUUCGGGAAACCGGAGCUAAUACCGGAUAAUAUUUCGAACCGCAUGGUUCGAUAGUGAAAGAUGGUUUUGCUAUCACUUAUAGAUGGACCCGCGCCGUAUUAGCUAGUUGGUAAGGUAACGGCUUACCAAGGCGACGAUACGUAGCCGACCUGAGAGGGUGAUCGGCCACACUGGAACUGAGACACGGUCCAGACUCCUACGGGAGGCAGCAGUAGGGAAUCUUCCGCAAUGGGCGAAAGCCUGACGGAGCAACGCCGCGUGAGUGAUGAAGGUCUUCGGAUCGUAAAACUCUGUUAUUAGGGAAGAACAUACGUGUAAGUAACUGUGCACGUCUUGACGGUACCUAAUCAGAAAGUCACGGCUAACUACGUG